AUACGUAGGGGACGAGCGUUGUCCGGAAUUACUGGGCGUAAAGGGCGCGUAGGCGGCGCUUCAAGUCGUCUGUCAAAUGGGAGGGCUUAACCCUUUUUCGCAGACGAAACUGGAGAGCUUGAGAAGCAGAGAGGCAAACAGAAUUCCUGGUGUAGCGGUGAAAUGCGUAGAUAUCAGGAAGAAUACCAGUGGCGAAGGCGGUUUGCUGGCUGCAUACUGACGCUGAAGCGCGAAAGCCAGGGGAGCAAACGGGAUUAGAUACCCCGGUAGUCCUGGCAGUAAACGAUGUAUGCUGGGUGUGAGACUAGCGAUAGUUUCGUGCCGAAGUUAACGCGAUAAGCAUACCGCCUGGGGAGUACGGUCGCAAGAUUGAAACUCAAAGGAAUUGGCGGGG
rnacentral:rRNA from 1 species